GCUUGCAACAAUAAAAACACGACGAAAUGGGAUCCAAGUCAAUUAUCUGCAUCCUACUUUUCGCGGCCUUUUACACUUUGACUAUUGCCUACAAUAAAGAGAGAUGCAAUGCUCCCCCCAGUGUUACAGGGAAUUGCAAGGCUCAUCUCGCCAGGUGGGUCUUCAAGGAUAAAAAAUGCCAGCGAAUUGUUUAUAGCGGAUGUGGAGCCACUCCAAAUAUAUUUUUAUUUAAAUAUAAAUGCAAAAGAGAUUGCCUGAGUAAAAAGUCAAAGCACAAACAUAAGGACCACAAAAACAAAAAAGACAAACACACAAGCAAACACAAUAAAAGUAAACAUGAAAACAAAACAACAACACCGAAAACAACCACAACAAAAAAAGCAUAAGAGUAAAACUAGUUAAAAAUGUAACCUAAAUGUUAAAAAAAUUGUUAUUAUUUAUACAAUAGUAAUCAGUUUAGUUACAGUUAAAUUCAAAUAUCGAGCCUAUCUGUGAGAUAAGGUCUUUUAAGCCACAAAUAUAGGAACUACUUAGUGACUUGGGAAAAGUGCUACACAAUGGACUACAAACUAAUAAACAUUGCUCUAGACUUCCUCUUCUUUUUUAAUUUGUCGAUUGCCUAUAAUAAAAGGAAGUGUGAUGCCCCUCCGAGCAAACCUGGAUACUGCAUGGCAGAUCUUCCCCGGUGGGUUUUUAAGGACAACAAAUGUCAGGAAAUCUUAUAUGGCGGAUGUGGAGGCACUCCGAAUCUGUUCGAUUUUAAAUAUCAAUGCGAAGUAGCUUGCGAUGUUCCUAAGUUACCAAAUCAUCCUUAUGGGGAGCACUCGUUUAUAAAAUGUCGAUCAAAUAAGAAUUGAACAUGAUUCUAUUUCAUAAGUCAAACAUGAUCCCCAAAAUUAGGGCUGAAUACAAAAAGUAUUUGGAAAUGAGAACCUAAAUCUGAAACAGUUGUAACUAUUACACAACAAACAUUAAAUUUAACAUUUAAACAUUA